rnacentral:rRNA from 1 species
CUACGGGACGCUGCAGUGAGGAAUAUUGCACAAUGGAGGAAACUCUGAUGCAGCAACGCCGCGUGGAGGAUGACGCAUUUCGGUGUGUAAACUCCUUUUAUGAGUCAAGAAAAUGACGGUAGCAUAUGAAUAAGCACCGGCUAACUCCGUGCCAGCAGCCGCGGUAAUACGGAGGGUGCAAGCGUUACUCGGAAUCACUGGGCGUAAAGGACGCGUAGGCGGGUUGGAAAGUCAGGUGUGAAAUCCUACAGCUUAACUGUAGAACUGCACUUGAAACUUCUAAUCUAGAGUAUGGGAGGGGGAGAUGGAAUUAGUGGUGUAGGGGUAAUAUCCGUAGAUAUCACUAGGAAUACCUAAAGCGAAGGCGAUCUCCUGGAACAUUACUGACGCUAAGGCGUGAAAGCGUGGGGAGCAAACAGGAUUAGAUACCCCGGUAGUC